UCAAGUGAAUAAGUGCAUAUGGUGAAUGCCUUGGCGAUUACAGGCGAUGAAGGACGUGGUAGUCUGCGAAAUUUUUCGGGGAGCUGGCAAACAAGCUUUGAUCCGGAAGUGUCCGAAUGGGGAAACCCACCCGCAAGGGUAUCCAUCUCUGAAUUCAUAGGAGAUGUGAAGCAAACCGAGUGAACUGAAACAUCUUAGUAACUCGAGGAAAAGAAAUCAACCGAGAUUCCGGCAGUAGUGGCGAGCGAAACCGGAGCAGCCUGUUAUUUUUAGCACACGCGUUAAUAGAACGGAAUGGAAAGUCCGGCCGUAGAGGGUGAUAGUCCCGUAUAUGAAAGCCCGUGUGUGGAACUAGGGUAACGAUAAGUAGGACGGGACACGUGAAAUCUUGUCUGAAUAUGGGGGGACCAUCCUCCAAGGCUAAAUACUCGUAAUCGACCGAUAGUGAACUAGUACCGUGAGGGAAAGGUGAAAAGAACCCCGGGAGGGGAGUGAAAUAGAUUCUGAAACCGUAUGCAUACAAACAGUAGGAGCCCUUCGGGGUGACUGCGUACCUUUUGUAUAAUGGGUCAGCGACUUACAUUCAGUAGCAAGCUUAACCGAUAGGGAAGGCGUAGCGAAAGCGAGUCCUAAUAGGGCGUCUUAGUUACUGGGUGUAGACCCGAAACCAAGUGAUCUAUCCAUGGCCAGGAUGAAGGUGCCGUAACAGGUACUGGAGGUCCGAACCCACAAAUGUUGAAAAAUUUGGGGAUGAGCUGUGGAUAGGGGUGAAAGGCUAAACAAACUUGGAGAUAGCUGGUUCUCUCCGAAAACUAUUUAGGUAGUACCUCGUAUCUUACUCUCGGGGGUAGAGCACUGUUAUGGCUAGGGGGUCCUUAAGGACUUACCAAACCAUUGCAAACUCCGAAUACCGAGAAGUACAAUUACGGGAGACAGACAGCGGGUGCUAACGUCCGUUGUCAAGAGGGAAACAACCCAGACCGCCAGCUAAGGUCCCAAAUAUCAGUUAAGUGGGAAACGAUGUGGGAAGGCUCAGACAGCUAGGAGGUUGGCUUAGAAGCAGCCAUCCUUUAAAGAAAGCGUAAUAGCUCACUAGUCGAGUCGGCCUGCGCGGAAGAUUUAACGGGGCUAAAACAUACCACCGAAGCUACGGAUGCAAGUUUACUUGCAUGGUAGAGGAGCGUUCUGUAAGCCGUUGAAGGUGAAGGGGUAACCCACACUGGAGGUAUCAGAAGUGCGAAUGUUGACAUGAGUAACGAUCAAAGAGGUGAAAAACCUCUUCGCCGAAAAACCAAGGGUUCCUGUCCAACGCUAAUCGAGGCAGGGUGAGGCGGCCCCUAAGGCGAGGGCGAAAGCCGUAGUCGAUGGGAAACAGGUUAAUAUUCCUGUACUUUUUACAACUGCGAUGGGGUGACGGAGAAGGUUAAACUAGCACGGCGACGGUUGUCCGUGUUUAAGGUUGUAGGCUGGCGUUUUAGGUAAAUCCGGAAUGCUAAGGCUGAGGACUGAUGACGACCACUCAUUGAGUGGGAAGUAGUUGAUACCAUGCUUCCAGGAAAAACCUCUAAGCUUCAGGUUGUAAGGAACCGUACCCUAAACCGACACAGGUGGUUAGGUCGAGUAGACCAAGGUGUUUGAGAGAACUAUGGUGAAGGAACUAGGCAAAAUAGCACCGUAACUUCGGGAGAAGGUGCGCUGCGUUUGGUGAUGAGACUUGCUCUCUAAGCUGAACGUAGUCGAAGAUACCAGGUGGCUGCGACUGUUUACUAAAAACAUAGCACUCUGCAAACUCGUAAGAGGAAGUAUAGGGUGUGACGCCUGCCCGGUGCCGGAAGGUUAAUUGAUGGGGUUAGCUUAUGCGAAGCUCUUGAUCGAAGCCCCGGUAAACGGCGGCCGUAACUAUAACGGUCCUAAGGUAGCGAAAUUCCUUGUCGGGUAAGUUCCGACCUGCACGAAUGGCGUAACGAUGGCCACACUGUCUCCUCUAGAGACUCAGCGAAGUUGAAAUGGUUGUGAAGAUGCAAUCUACCCGCGGUUAGACGGAAAGACCCCAUGAACCUUUACUAUAGCUUUACAUUGGACUUUGAUAACAUCUGUGUAGGAUAGGUGGGAGACUUUGAAGCAGGAUCGCUAGAUCUUGUGGAGUCACCCUUGAAAUACCACCCUGAUGUUGUUGAGGUUCUAACCCAGGUCCCUUAUCGGGAUCGGGGACCGUGUAUGGUGGGUAGUUUGACUGGGGCGGUCUCCUCCCAAAGAGUAACGGAGGAGUGCGAAGGUAACCUAGGCACGGUCGGAAAUCGUGCUGUUAGUGCAAUGGCAUAAGGUUGCUUGACUGCGAGACGGACAUGUCAAGCAGGUACGAAGGUAGGUCAUAGUGAUCCGGUGGUUCUGUAUGGAAGGGCCAUCGCUCAACGGAUAAAAG
rnacentral:rRNA from 1 species